UGGAAAGAAAAAAAGUCAUAAAAACCACCCACCAAUUUUACAAAUUUGUAGGUUUCUUUGUUUCAUCCCAUAAAAAGCAUCUCACCAAAAAGCCAUCUUAUCACUAUUUAUUUUUGAAUGGCGAUAAGCCAUGUUAUCACUUAUUUAUGGUUUUAGUUUAUUCUAAGUUUCUUACUCUUGUUUUCUAUGUCCAUUAUCUACCCUGUCAUGCAUCAUCAUGCCGGAGCUUUGCUAGUUAGAUUGUACUUUAGCUACAGUGACAUCCUCUCAGAAAUCAGUUAAAACCGAUGAAAACCCGUGGGUUUUUUAAAAGGAAAAAGUUUGGAUGAAUGAUGAGUUUGAGGGCAUUUGUAAAUCGCACUUUUCGUCUGCGACUAGGGACCGGAAAGUUGGCAGAUGACGGCCGGCAACAGGUAUUCGUCCGCGACAAACGAAGGAUUUUCGACGGCAUUUACAUCAUCGGAAAUAAUGCGUAAGAUAGAGCGAGACUCCCGUCUUCGAUUCCCGCCAAAGCUCGAUGAAAAUGGAAAUUGCAACGGGAUGACUCCGGAGGUCGAUGUCGACAUAUGCUGAUCUCGUUGUUGUUAUCAGUGGCUUAUGUUACCGGUGGUGGUUGUUAAGGUGGUGGCAGGUGGCUAAUGAAGAGUUGAUGGUUUAUGAAAAAUGAUGAAGAAGAAAAAGGGAAAAGAAUCUGCAAAGGACCAAAGAAAGAAAGAAAAAGACAAAAA